rnacentral:rRNA from 1 species
GACGAACGCUGGCGGCGUGCUUAACACAUGCAAGUCGAACGGAAAGGCCCUGCUUUUGUGGGGUGCUCGAGUGGCGAACGGGUGAGUAACACGUGAGUAACCUGCCCUUGACUUUGGGAUAACUUCAGGAAACUGGGGCUAAUACCGGAUAGGAGCUCCUGCUGCAUGGUGGGGGUUGGAAAGUUUCGGCGGUUGGGGAUGGACUCGCGGCUUAUCAGCUCGUUGGUGGGGUAGUGGCUUACCAAGGCUUUGACGGGUAGCCGGCCUGAGAGGGUGACCGGCCACAUUGGGACUGAGAUACGGCCCAGACUCCUACGGGAGGCAGCAGUGGGGAAUAUUGCACAAUGGGCGGAAGCCUGAUGCAGCAACGCCGCGUGCGGGAUGACGGCCUUCGGGUUGUAAACCGCUUUCGCCUGUGACGAAGCGUGAGUGGCGGUAAUGGGUAAAGAAGCACCGGCUAACUACGU